UUUCACAUCAAAAAGAAAGACUCCUCCCGUCGUCGUCGUCGUCGUCCGUCACCAUCACGCCAGUGCAGCAACGCAGGAAGAAAAAAGUGUCGAAGUCGGAAAUUUCGUGUUUUCCGGAUUGGAAAAAUCGUUCGUCCGUGUCCAGUUUCACCAGGAUUUAGUGCAGUUUUUGUUGCAUUUAGCUGAUCGUCAGCCGCUGCGAAAUUUAUAAGCAUUAAGAAUGUCUGCCCCAGAAGGAUCUUCAAAUGGUUUUCCUAAAUUACCGCCCCCGCCGACCGGUAGCACCCAGCCCGCGGCCAGCAGUGCCAACGGAGCGACGGCCAAUCGGCUCAAGCAAACCCAGGCCCAGGUGGACGAAGUGGUCGGCAUCAUGCGCGUCAACGUCGAGAAGGUCCUGGAGCGGGACCAGAAACUUUCCGAACUGGACCAACGGGCGGACGCACUGCAGCACGGGGCGUCCCAAUUCGAGCAGCAGGCCGGCAAGCUCAAGCGGAAGCAGUGGUGGGCCAACAUGAAGAUGAUGAUCAUCAUGGGCAUCAUCGGCGUGGUCCUGCUAAUUAUCAUCAUCCUUGUAAUUGUGACUAACACUAACUGACCCAGUAACUAACCAGCACUAGAGCUAGGAUCGCAGCAACGUGUGAUCUUGAAGCUAAACAGACCAACAGAGAAGCAGAUGUGAUCCCGUUUGCUCGUUUUACUAAGACUGUUAACGCACGCACAAGUGAGGCUAACAACAACCCUAAUCUUAAUGUUUCCAUCGUCUAUUAAAAACCAUUUACUUCGACGUCCCUCCAAAACACGCACAUAUAAAUAGACACACACACAUACUCGUAGGAGCAGAAGCGUCCGAUCUUUUCCGCUCCUCCCCGGUAAGAAAACGUAGACGAAGAAUAACAAGUUUCGGAUCACGCACCGGAAAGGGGUGGUAGGAGAAAAAAAGCUCGUCCAGCAGAAAAACGCGCAAUCCAAUUUAUUUUUUUCCUUUUGAUGCCAGUGUAGAACUGGCGGUCCGUGAAUCCCUUCGAACCGCUGUGGUUGGGGCCCAUUAUGAUAGGUGACCAUUUUCCUCCGGCGAGAAGAAAGGAUCUUUGGAAGAAAGAUUAUCACAGAACGAUAGCGCAUAAUAAAUGUCCGUGCAAAAAUGGCAUAAUCCAUUGUUAGAGUUCUCUUUUUUUUUUGUUUCGACUAAGGUAGAAAAAUAGGGUUAGCACAAAAAGGUGAUUCGCCUCCCGCAUUAUUUACUGGACCCGUAAAAACUCGUUUCACACGAAUUCAAAAGCAAUAAAACUAAACAAGGUCUCGAAGGAUGCAGUGGCCCCGACUAGAAAUAAUGAAGCUGCGGAAAGUUGUCUUGAGCUUAGAUUAGAUCCGUUAUCAGGUUCUGGGUUUGGACUGUAGAACACUACUCGUGAAUAGGGACUAAGCAAUGUAGAUUCAUACAUCACAAAUAAUGGUAAUGCCUUAUUAUAAUCAACAGUUUCAAUCGCAUAACAAGGUAACAGGACGACACGUCAAACUUUUUUCCCGGAAAAUGAAAUUUAGCAUGAGACACCCAGAGAGUAUGGUAUUUGCUAUUAUGUAGACUUUUAUGUAAUUGUUAUCAAACUAUGGAAUUAUUAUAAAACGGAAAUCUUUAAUAUAUUAAAGGAUACUAAUUUACAAUGUAUAGGUAGAAAA